AUUGAACGCUGGCGGAAUGCUUUACACAUGCAAGUCGAACGAUGAACCUUAGCUUGCUAGGGGGAUUAGUGGCGAACGGGUGAGUAAUAUAUCGGAACGUACCUUGUAAUGGGGGAUAACUAGUCGAAAGAUUAGCUAAUACCGCAUACGCCCUGAGGGGGAAAGUAGGGGAUCUUCGGACCUUACGUUAUAAGAGCGGCCGAUAUCUGAUUAGCUAGUUGGUGGGGUAAUGGCCUACCAAGGCGACGAUCAGUAGCUGGUCUGAGAGGACGACCAGCCACACUGGAACUGAGACACGGUCCAGACUCCUACGGGAGGCAGCAGUGGGGAAUUUUGGACAAUGGGCGCAAGCCUGAUCCAGCCAUUCCGCGUGAGUGAAGAAGGCCUUCGGGUUGUAAAGCUCUUUCGCAAGGGAAGAAAACUUACACAAUAACACUGUGUGAGGCUGACGGUACCUUGAUAAGAAGCACCGGCUAACUACGUGCCAGCAGCCGCGGUAAUACGUAGGGUGCGAGCGUUAAUCGGAAUUACUGGGCGUAAAGCGUGCGCAGGCGGUUUUGUAAGUCAGAUGUGAAAUCCCCGAGCUCAACUUGGGAACUGCGUUUGAAACUACAAGACUAGAAUAUGUCAGAGGGGGGUAGAAUUCCACGUGUAGCAGUGAAAUGCGUAGAGAUGUGGAGGAAUACCAAUGGCGAAGGCAGCCCCCUGGGAUAAUAUUGACGCUCAUGCACGAAAGCGUGGGGAGCAAACAGG
rnacentral:rRNA from 1 species